rnacentral:rRNA from 1 species
AGUCGAACGCCCUAGCAAUAGGGAGUGGCGCACGGGUGAGUAACGCGUGGGAAUGUACCCUUGGGUGCGGAACAACGUCGGGAAACUGACGCUAAUACCGCAUAAUAUCUACGGAUCAAAGAUUUAUCGCCCAAGGAUCAGCCCGCGUAAGAUUAGGUAGUUGGUGGGGUAAUGGCCUACCAAGCCUACGAUCUUUAGCUGGUCUUAGAGGAUGAUCAGCCACACUGGAACUGAGACACGGUCCAGACUCC